rnacentral:rRNA from 1 species
UACGGAGGAUGCAAGCGUUAUCCGGAAUGAUUGGGCGUAAAGGGUCCGCAGGUGGCAAUGUGUGUCUGCUGUCAAAGAAUGAGGCUUAACCUCAUCAAGGCAGUGGAAACUACAUAGCUAGAGUACGGUCGGGGUAGAAGGAAUUCCUGGUGUAGCGGUGAAAUGCGUAGAGAUCAGGAAGAACACCGGUGGCGAAAGCGCUCUGCUGGACCUUAACUGACACUGAGGGACGAAAUCUAGGGGAGCGAAUGGG